rnacentral:rRNA from 1 species
AAUGAACGCUGGCGGCAUGCCUAACACAUGCAAGUCGAACGAGACCUCCGGGAGUGGUGGCGCUCGCGGGUGUAACGUGUGGGACGGUGGCCGUAGGUACGGAAUACUACUUCGACAGGGGUGCUAAUGUAGGAAAACGUCCGCGGAUAAAACAUAUAUCGCCUGUGGGUGAGCAGGGGUUGGUUUAGCUAGUUGGGAGGGUAAAAGCCUACCAAGGAGACGAUCCAUAGCGGGGCUGAGAGGAUGAUCAGCCACACUGGGACUGAGACACGGCCCAGACUCCUACGGGAGGCAGCAGUGGGGAAUAUUGGACAAUGGGCGAAAGCCUGAUCCAGCUAUGCCGCGUGAGUGAUGAAGGCCUUAGGGUUGUAAAGCUCUUUUACCCGGGAUGAUAAUGACAGUACCGGAAGAAUAAGCUCCGGCUAACUCCGUG